AGCGAUGACUCGGACUUGUGAAAUAUUACCAGCAGAUUGAUUCACAUUUGGCAAGCAAGGAGGUAAACUACCAAGCGUUUUCACCUUGUACAUAGUAGUAACCAAGCUUUGGUUCUUGUCCUCUACAACCGACUCAAAGAAAAACUGACGAGGCAUCUCACACGGAUCAUUCGUCACCCGUCUCGUGUUAAAUGUAUACACAGGUAUUCUAACGUUCUUCCACGGCCGGAACGUUUCUAGAGGGCGUUUCAGGUAGUUUCUUGGUAAUACAGAUUGGUAAACGUGGACUGAGUAGCCCCAUGAUACAGAAACUGACCAGUUGUUUCCUCUUUGGUAACAUAUUGUCUGUUGGAGGAUGCGGGACUGGUCGAUUUUCGCGGUUUUCAUGAGGUGGUUCACUGAUUCCUGGCGGCUCAUGGCUGGGAAUAUGGGGUUUAUGACGUCGAAAUGGUGGA
rnacentral:lncRNA from 1 species